rnacentral:rRNA from 1 species
AUUGAACGCUGGCGGCAGGCCUAACACAUGCAAGUCGAGCGGAGCGGCGGACGGGUGAGUAAUGCCUAGGAAUCUGCCUGGUAGUGGGGGAUAAGGUCCGGAACCGGGGGCUAAUACGGCAUCCUACCAGAUGAGCCUAGGUCGGAUUAGCUAGUUGGUGGGGUAAAGGCCUACCAAGGCGACGACCCGUAACUGGUAUGAGAGGAUGAUCAGUCACACUGGAACUGAGACACGGUCCAGACUCCUACGGGAGGCAGAAGUGGGAAAUAUUGGACAAUGGGCGAAAGCCUGAGCCAGCCAUGCCGCGUGUGUGAAGAAGGUCUUCGGAUUGUAAAGCACUUUAAGUUGGGAGGCGUUACCAACAGAAUAAGCACCGGCUAACUUCGUGCCAGCAGCCGCGGUAAUAC